GGGCGAACCAAAUAUUGGGCGGGUUUACACCUCCAGCCUCCAGCCGAGCACUAGAUUUCUUCUUCUACAUACUGAUUUCUUUGGUUCUCCGGCACUGCCACCACCACCACCACCACCAUUACCACCAGAAUCUAUACCUUCAUCUACUUCUCCUUUUCAGUUGGUCGUGAAGGGAUGUGCUAAAUCUUUUGUAUGGUUCACAGAACUUCAAGAGGAAAAUAUCGUAGUUCUUCGAAGAGAGAGAACUACUACCAAGAAGAACAAAAGGUGUACCAAAAAUAAGAGGUACCGGAAGCAUCCGAGAGAACUCGGGUUAUAGUCAGAAGAUUAAUCUCAGUCUUUGAAAAAAAUGGGUUGACGACGAUAUCAAUACUAACAGAACUCGGGUUAUAUUCAAAAGUGAGUGGUGAAGUUGAUACCUUGAAAGUGGCUACAGACGAAGAAAAUGGUGUUAUUAUGGGAGCUUCAGGUCUGUUGAAACUAGAAAAACUUGAUCAGACAUAAACAAAGGGCAUAUGGAUCACAUUAUCAGAGAUAUGAGCAGGAUGAAGGAUCUAAUGGGACACUUAUUCAUGAUUACUCUUAUGAAGACAAAGAUGCAUGGGAUGAGGACCCAGAGCCUAUGAAAAUUUGGAAGGCAGGGUUGUAUCAGAAGGAAAAGAAGAAGGAAGAGUUGGUCAAUUAUGUGCAUCACAAGGAACAGCAACAACACUGCACCAUUGCGGUUUUAGGCCAACAUGGGUUGCACAACCAAAGUAGCAAAAUCUAAAAGAUUACCAAGAUGUAGGUGGUGAUGAGUGACGCAGCUGGAUAUAAUGGCAUGGCACCAGUUACAUGGAUAUGAUCUUGAUGAGUAUGGACCGGAUAAGAUAUGGUUAGAUUUACCGUCUUGGGUUUCAAUACUCAAUCACUUUAGUUGCCAAGGGUCACGAUAAGCAACCAUUGAUUAACCGAGGUCUCUUUUUCCAUAUUCUCCUCCACCACCACCAUCUACACCUGCAUUUGUGGCUGUAAUUGCAACUCUAACAUAACUCUUCUUACAUUUGAUUUGUGCUAAAUUAGUUUAUUUUGUGUUUUAGUAGAUCUAAUCAGUAGAUUCGUGAUCUCAGGCAAUUGCUGCUGUGAACUGAAAACAAACGAAACGAGUUCUGCAGGUGAAUUUUCAUCGUAUGGGUGCUUUGUUGUUAUUGUUUCUUCUUGGUAAGCAAUGCUAAUUCAAAUAAGACCAGAUGGGAUAACCACAUAUAUACUAAUUAUUGUAGCAAUUGAUCAUGUAAAGGAAUACUAAUUAGGGGUUCUUCGGUUGAUGGGGUAUUCUAUUAAUGUUAUGAAUGUUAUGAAUGCUGAUGUUCAUGAUUUGUUUAAUGUAAUUUGCAACCAUAAAAGAUAAAAGUAGACGACAUAUUUGUUUCUGCUCGCUCGGUGUUGUUGUAUGUUUAUGCUGGUAAGUUUCCGAGUUUUGGAGACAAUGUUUUAUUCUAUAUAGAAUGUUAUGUGAUUGGUUUACUCAUUUGAAAGUGUUGUGAUUUUUCUGCAGGUCCUGCUUGCUCAGUGAUGUCCUUUUUUAGUAAACAGCUGUAAUGAGAUAUCUAUGUGGUUUCUCUUUUCGAAAUGUUUAUAUAGGGUCAGUUAACAUUCAUUACAGUAUCUGAAAACAUAUUACGUCACAAAACUUGCUCACAGCCGAAUAUAACUGAAUUUAAUGCAAAUGAGUUUAGGCCAAGCAUGAUAACGUGAUGGUCCGAAGAUAGUGUGAAUAACCAAAACAUUAUGUGUGGUAUCAGCAAAUGGCAUUUUACAAUAGAUGCAUUUACUAUACCCAGACAACAGCUUCUUUCACCCUGAUAUGAGGCGUCGCGUUGUAUUCGCUUUCUUAGCUCAAAUGGCAGAGCACAAGGUUUUCACCAUGUAGUUGUGGGUUCGUCUCCCUCAGAUUACACAUGGUUUGCCGUCUUAAGGCAGACAUAGAUCACUAAGUGAAAGCUACGGCUAAAAUAAAAAAAAAAAUCCUGAAACAGGCAGUCUGCGGCGGGACAGCUAUGUGGUUUCCUAAACAGGGCAGUUUUGUGAAUAGGUGCGAGGAGUUCAGAGAUCAAGAUUUAAUUUUCGUUUGUUCAGGUUUGGUUUCGUAUAUCUUAGAGAAAUCAGGAAAUAUACUUUGAGGUUUAGCACUUUUUACUAGAAAUAGAGAAGUUAAGAUUUAACUUUCGUCCUGCAUGAAUUUUGCGGGUCUCAGUUCCUUAGAUUGAUAUAGCUCUGUCAUGUGGGAUGUAUCUCAAAACUGUAGGUUUACCAUAGGAAUGACAAAGUUGGUGUGUCUGGAUUUGAUGUUUCAGUUCCGUCCUAUGAAAAUUCUUUGUAUUAUUCACCUGAUUCACUACCAUAGUUUGAUGUUGCAGAGCUAAUACUGUGGUGAUUAAUUUCACUCUUUAAAAGACGACCUUGAAUGUAAUUCAAAGAGCUGCAUCCAGUAAGUAAGCAAAAAAUUGUUUUUAUUGAUGGUCAUUCACUGUCAUAGAUUCCCAGGUUGAUAAGUAAGUGUAUGUGGUUGAGCUAUGUGUAUAUUUUACUACCGAUGCAUCCCGUGUUCUGCUAAGGAGGCUCCAUUGUGAUUACCAAGCAAUUCAACUAGCCAGGAUUGAGGUUGCAAGGUAGGACUUGCAUCAUAGCAGGCAUUUCUCUUCAAUGAUAGGAGGUGUGUUUUAUGUUUUGUGCUUUAUUUUUAUUUUUUAUUACGUUGGUCUUUUAUAGGCGUUCCUAAUGAGCCACAACACUAUCAGAAUGUAUAACUACAGAGGGAGAAAUGCCGCCCCUGACUGAACUUGGUUAGCAUUUGUACAUCUAAGGUUCACUGCAUUGUAAAGCAUAUCCUGUGAGAUGUAUUAUUGCUAAACCAAUUCGAGCUAGGAAAACCAAUACUACUAUUCCAGUUUGUUAUUGCUGCUUGGGUAGCUUCAAGUAAAGGUAAAAACAGUCAUGUGUUUUUUUUUUGUAUGUGGUGGCCAUGGAUGGAGGAUCUUGAUUCCUGAAGAUGAUGGCAUAAGAUGAAUGUUGGACAUAUAGUCUUAUGAAAGGUGACUCUUAAUGAGGUUUGAUGCUAUUGAGGAUUUAGCCUGCGCAAUUGAGCGGAGAUAAUGAAGUCGUUGAGAAUAUCAGUAAACAAACCAAAAAGGUAGGAUAUAUUUUCCUAUUCAUAUAAGCACACGGCAGAAGUCAAGGGGUUAUGUUAAAAGACAUGGAAGAAAUUCGAAUAAUGCAUUCGGUGGUCAUGGAAGGUAGAAUAACACAGUCCGAUAGUUACGUUCCUGCUUUUACUCAUGGGAAAGUAAGUAAUCACAUUUCUUUUUUCUUAGGAGUUUCCAAAAUAAAAUAACAAUUUUUUUUUUAAUUUUAUUGCUAGAUAAUAGUAACCUUUAGCAGCUCAAUGUGGUUCUUGCUCAAGGAGCAGAUCGAAUUAAAAUAGAUGCAGCGUGGUAAGCCAAAACAAUUACAAACCAUGAACAAAGUUAUGCUGCCCUUAUUCUGAAGAAUCCGGUAUUAGAAUUUAUAUAAUUUGGCAUUAACUCUUGCCCAAUAUGGAGCCCAAUAUGGAAAGAGUAAUUCGUAUAUGUGAUUUUUUCAUUGUUAAUCAAAAUUCCAAAAUUAUUAACGUGCAAGUGAAUAUUUGCUAUCAUGUUUUAACUUUUUUAUAUGCUUCAAUUGAUGCAUAAGCAGUUCUUGACAGGGUUACUUGAAGUUAACUUGAAAUUGUAAACUCCAUUCGCCUAUUAUUGAUGCAUGGGUGAAAUUUGCAGGAGCAUUCCAUAAGCUAUAGCAUUAAAGUGGAAGCAUGGAGCAUGUGCAGCAUUGCUAAACCCCUUCGUUGGCUGAGCCUUUGGUCUGGCCUUCUCCAUUGAAGUUUAUCAGUAAGCUGAAUCUAGAUGCUAAAGUCCUGUUAGAAGGGGAACUUAUCCCCACCAGCUAAUGAUACUGGCAGCAAUGUCUCUGAGGUGAGUUUUUCCUCUUUCCCUUUAUGUUAAUUUUGAACUUAAAUGAUAAACCUUCCAUUGACAGUAUACGCGUCUAUAUUUGAUUCUUUUACAGCAUCGACAAUAUAAAAAAUACAGACGAACUGUUGCCGUUCUUUUGCAGCAUCGAAAAAUAGAAGUACCGACAAAUUCCAUAGAUGAUUUUAUUAACGUCACCAAUACUGGAGACUGUCUUAAUUUUUCUUAACCAGAAAUAAUAAAUUUUGGACAUACGGGUGAAAAAAUCAUGUUGUUGUGGAGUAGUUAGGAGCUUAAUGUCUGAAAAAUUAAAUAUCAUUGUUCAUCUUCAGCCUGACGUGUCAGCAUUACCCAAACUGGAUAAAUGCUAUUCUCAAAAUUUCAACUGUUUGACAAUUCAAUUAAAUUAUCUCCUGCUUCACUUUAUAAAUUCAAUUUUUUGUAGUGUGAUAUGGGUGUACAUCGAGAGAAGUCCAAGUUAUUCGGUUUGUUUCAGGGGAACUUGAUAGGAUGAGUUGUUCUUGAAUUUUGUGAUGGAGGUCUGUCGGUAAGAUUUCUAUAUCACUUCACAGCAUCAGCAACGGAACUUAAGUCACAGCUUCAAUGAUGGAGGCUGUUUAAGCUAUUCCAGGAUACUCUUCUUUGCUUUAAUCUAAUUAUGCUUCUGCCUAUUACAGAUGAGUUAUAUUAACAGUAGUUCAUGCAACUCUAUGCCACUUUUGAGGAUGAUAGAACCUGUGCAGAUUUUUUCACUUCUUUUCCCUGCGGUACUGUAAGCAUGAAUUUGGUUAAGGAUUUGUGACACAUUUAAUCUAUGACAUCAGAAGGACAGGCUUUGGUUUGUCUAUGUAAUACUGAUUUUCUUAUCCCACCAGGUUAAGGUUUCAGAGCAGCAUUUUCCCCCUUAAUUUCUUUUACAAUAUUAAUAGGUCCAUUUAUGACAAGCUAAAAUGUGGAAGAGUCCUAGGGCAGUUAUGACAAGCUAAAAUGCAUUAUCAAGCAGAUGCGGAAGUGCAAGGCAUUUUUCAUCGCUCAUGCCCCAUGCAGCCUUCCAGAUCACAAACGUUCUAUGGCAGCUAAAAUAAAGUGAUCAAGUGAGAAGUAAGAGAGAAUCGAAAGUCUGCAUUGGAGGUAAACUUUCUACAAGAUGAUAAGUGGGAAUAAAGUAAAAGUGACAGAGGAAGUUGUGCCGGUAAUAACUGGAUCAGCAGAAGCUCCAUCAGAUUCGAAUGAUCCUAUGUGGCGGUACUAGAGCGAGCUAAGAGGCGGAGUCAGAUUACUGAGGAGAUAGAGCACAAGAGAUUUAAAGAUUCAAUCAUAGAUGUGGGCGAGGAAUGCGAUUGGGAUUGUGCGGGGAACGAAUAUUUAUCAUGGAUUUGACUGUAUUUUAGCUAAUAUCUUGGAGAGUCUUGAGAAAGACAUCAAUGAUUCUAAUUUGUUGUCAGUUGGAUGUUUUUGUAUGUUAUGUACACGUCUAUGGUAUCAUCCGGUUCAACAACACUUUCGUUUGCAUAUUUCGUGAUGUAGUUUUUAGGACGGGUUCACUCUCCAAUUUCUGAUAAAGCGUUCACUCUAAACUUUAUUCAUAAAGUUUUUAAGAAUUUCAAAGUGCAUGUGUUGGUUGUAUCUCAUUGGCAUGUAAAAGAGCUGGCUCCUUGGCCUUGCCAUUCAGGUGUUACAAGUUCUUUUGGUAGUUGUAUGACUAAAUUAGCUUUCAAGUUAUAGAGGAACUCAAGGGACAUGUAAGAAAUAUAAGGUCAUUCAUUGCAUUAACAUUUACUCGGUAAUCAAUGCUUUUGUAUGCUGCAU